rnacentral:rRNA from 1 species
UACGGAGGGUGCAAACGUUGCUCGGAAUCAUUGGGCGUAAAGCGCACGUAGGCGGCUUGUUAAGUCGGAUGUGAAAGCCCUGGGCUCAACCUAGGAAGUGCAUUCGAAACUUCUGAGCUUGAGUAUCGGAGAGGAAGGCGGAAUUCUCGGUGUAGAGGUGAAAUUCGUAGAUAUCGAGAGGAACACCGGUGGCGAAGGCGGCCUUCUGGACGAUUACUGACGCUGAGACGCGAAAGCGUGGGGAGCAAACAGG